rnacentral:rRNA from 1 species
CCUACGGGAGGCAGCAGUGGGGAAUCUUCCGCAAUGGGCGAAAGCCUGACGGAGCAACGCCGCGUGAGUGAAGAAGGCCUUCGGGUCGUAAAACUCUGUCUUGGGGGAAGAAAAAAUGACGGUACCCCAGGAGGAAGCCCCGGCUAACUACGUG